rnacentral:lncRNA from 1 species
AUGAACGUUGGGACGUCGUUCUCCGAGGUUGAUGAUGAUGAUGAUGAGGACGACAGGGAAUAGGUUCUAGUAGUUGCACCGUAGUUUUUUAUCUAUCUAUGCGAUGUAUCGUUUUAUCUAUGUAUUGUGAAAUAUCUAUGUAUUGUUUUAUCUAUCUAUCUAUGAAAUAUCUAUGUAUAUCUAUGUAUUGUGCGAGAGCGCGCGCGCUGCAUUUUAGCGCGCCUGCUGGAGCUAGGCGCGCGCGCUGCAUUUUACAGCGGCCGCUGGAGCCAGCGUUGGCCGCCGCGCCAAAAUAGGCGAAUGGUGCGCCACAAACUUAUUUUUAGCGCGCCGCGCGUUGGGCGGCUGUUGGACAUGCUCUUACAACUCACUGCUUUCUUUUCUGCCGGCAAUGUGGUGAGCACCCUUGUCUUGUUUUUUUCCAGUGCUUUCAACUCUUCUAUCAUCGCUUCACGCCACUUCGGAUCUUGCUUUGCAGCAUUCCAAUCCUUUGAAAUUGACACAGUUUAAGGGAGACAACAAAUGCCUUAUAUAAGGGUGGCAAAGCCUUAAUAAGACACAAAAUUGCCAAUAUCAAGAUCAUCACAUGCAUCAUCCUCUGGUAGAGCCUUCCUUGCUACUUCACCCUUUAUUGCCGCUUCACGUGUAGCCUUUCGCAAUCCAAUGGGCAGCCCCACUGUGUCAGAUGAGCUUAUCUUACUGUCUUGCUGCUCCCCUGCACUCUUGCCUCACUGCCUUGCUGCUUCCCCUGCACUCUUGCCUCACCGCCUUGCUGCUCUCCUUGCACGUGUGGUUGCCGUCGAGAGUACACCAGGCUGUUCGUCUGCCAUCGAUCCCGAACAGGAACCCGAAGAGCACCAAUCUUAAGUCUAUCAACAGUUGGCUCAACAUG